rnacentral:lncRNA from 1 species
CGUUCUUUGGAUCCUGCAACGAAAGGUAGUCGUAAAAAAGGUGGAAGAUUCUGUAAAUUCCACAAGGACCACGGCCACCUAACGGACCACUGCAGGGAGUUCUCGAUUUAUGUCGAGCAACUGGUCUCGAAGGGUGAACUUGACAACUUUGUCAAGGGAUCCCGAGGACGGGACGGUUGCAAGUCCGACCCGAAGGGGAAG